rnacentral:rRNA from 1 species
CCUACGGGAGGCUGCAGUAGGGAAUCUUCCACAAUGGGCGAAAGCCUGAUGGAGCAACGCCGCGUGGGUGAAGAAGGCCUUCGGAUCGUAAAACCCUGUUGUUAGAGAAGAAAGCGCGUGAGAGUAACUGUUCACGUUUCGACGGUACCUAACCAGAAAGCCACGGCUAACUACGUGCCAGCAGCCGCGGUAAUACGUAGGUGGCAAGUGUUAUCCGGAUUUAUUGGGCGUAAAGGGAACGCAGGCGGUCUUUUAAGUUUGAUGUGAAAGCCUUCGGCUUAACCGGGGAAGUGCAUUGGAGACUGGGGGACUUGAGUGCAGAUGAGGAGAGUGGAACUCCAUGUGUAGCGGUGAAAUGCGUAGAUAUAUGAAAGAACACCAGUGGCGAAGGCGGCUCACUGAUCUGUAUCUGACGCUGAGGUUCGAAAGCGUGGGUAGCAAACAGGAUUAGAUACCCUUGUAGUC